rfam:Triticum aestivum genome assembly, contig: Triticum_aestivum_CS42_TGACv1_scaffold_558009_7AL
GAGAGCCAAAUGAGUCGAAAGAUUCAUGUUUGGUUUGGGAAGAGAUCAUAAAAGUUGUAAACUUACGAAAUAAUCUACUUUCAU